rnacentral:lncRNA from 1 species
GCGCUGCAGAGAAUGAAUGGAGAGGAAAGAGGAUUCCCCCUAAAGCUCUUCUGAACCUGCUGGAAGAUGCAGCAAUCCUACUUAAUCCAGGCAACUGUGCUGAAGUGAACUAGGAGGGAUGGCUUAGAACACCAGCUCCUCAAAGGGAUAUUUGGUUCCCGCCCUUAACUCCAGCCUGGGCUCCGUAAUGAGUUCAAGGCCUGUCUGAACUACAUGGUGAGACCCUGUUUCCAAAAAAAAACCCAAAGAAAUACAAAGAAACAAAAAACAAACUACCUAUGUCAGUUUCCUGGGUGUGAUGUUAGACUGCAGCUAUACACAAUAUUGCUGCUGGGGGACUCUGGUAAAAUAUCCAUGGAAUCUCUAUAUUAUUUCUUGCAACCACACAUAAUUCUACACUUAUCUAAGAAAAAACUAAGGAAAAUUCUGAAUGAUUUGCCUUCUUCACUGAGUACCAUUCACGUUGUAAUGUCAGAAAAGAACCCGGGAUUUACACACAGCCCCUGGGAAAUGGUUCAUUACCUGUAUUUUCUUUACAGAGGAGCCCAGAGGAGACAAUUGUCAUCAUCUGUAUGCUGUUGUCACUGCAGCUUUCUUCCUUCAACCUCAAUAUCAAAUCACGCAGAUCAGCCAUCAUCAUCUUCGUCUUCACCUUCGUGGCACCUGAGUGAGCUCUCCGCACCCAGCGCUCUGCAGAGACCUGGGCCUGCAUCUUGCCCUCACAUCCUCGCUGCAGCCAGGUGAGCAAGGAAGCAGCGAGACCACACAGAGGCGGGCUAGCGUGGUCUGGCACAAGAUGCCACCCUAAUGGCCAUGCUGUGUCAUCCUGGCUCGAGAAGCCAUCUCAGGGCCCGCAUUCCCGAGCCAAGUGUUUGGGAGGUGGACACAUUCAUUCACUCGGACUCUCAU